UCACGGUUUGCACCGGCAGUCUUGUUAGAGUUCCCGACAUUACUCGCUGGCAACUAACAACAGGGGUUGCGCUCGUUAUAGGACUUAACCUGACACCUCACGGCACGAGCUGACGACAACCAUGCAGCACCUUGUAAUCUGCCCGAAGGAAAAUCUGUUUCCAGAUCUGUCAGACUACAUUCAAGCCCUGGUAAGGUUCCUCGCGUAUCAUCGAAUUAAACCACAUGCUCCACCGCUUGUGCGGGCCCCCGUCAAUUCCUUUGAGUUUCAUUCUUGCGAACGUACUCCCCAGGCGGGGUACUUAAUGCGUUAGCUACGGCACGGAUCCCAAGGAAGGAAACCCACACCUAGUACCCACCGUUUACGGCGUGGACUAC
rnacentral:misc_RNA from 1 species